AUCAGCUGGGGAUCUUGUUAAAAUGCAGAUUCUGAUUCAGUAGAUUUAGGGUAGAGCUUGAGAUUCUGCAUUUCUAACAAGUUCCCUGGUGCUGC
rnacentral:miRNA from 1 species